rnacentral:tRNA from 1 species
GCGGGAAUAGCUCAGUUGGUAGAGCACGACCUUGCCAAGGUCGGGGUCGCGAGUUCGAGUCUCGUUUCCCGGU